CGAAGCGCUUUGGGAAGAGCGAUGUUGGUUUUGAGGCUGAAGCUCUUGGAGCUGCUUGAGGGGAGACCUCACUGCAGAACAAUUUCUUCAAAUUUCCCACAUCCUCUGAAAACCAGAACAAGGAAGUGAAAAUGGCUCGAAGCGGCCGGACAAGUUUCACUGCCCAAGGUUCAAGGACUCAAGUAAAGCAGCAGAGGCCAGAUACAAACACUCCGCUGGAAAAACACUCCGGAGGCUGCACAAGUGGCGGGGAAGGAGCCCAGACAAUAGGCUUCAUCACUGGGCAAAGUGGUCAGAAAUUUACUACACGUUUCACUGGGCUGGAAUUCGCAUUUUCCACCAAAAAAAAGAAAGGAAAAGAAAGGAAAAGAAAACAAGUUUUCCUCCAGAUGCUGCAGGUCCAGUGGGGAGGCUGGAGCAGAACCCAGAAUUCCUCCUUCAGCUCUGGAUUCUCAUCGGCCUUGCCCUUGGAUUCAUCCUCCUCUUCUUCGCUUUCUCAGCCUCUAAAACCAGGAACACAAACGUUUCCCCACCCAGAGCGCUUUGAACGACGCGUGGAAAGCACGGCUGCUAAAUAUUAAUAAGUUCUGUGUAAUAAUCUGCUUUUUUAUGGAAAUAUCAUUCAUAUUUAUGGGGCAAUUAACUGCUGAUAGAUCCCCUUGAAUAUGCAACGUGGGGCCUGAAGCUCCUGCAGCAACGAGGGUCUCAUCCUGCAUCUCUGACCCCUGCAAGACACUCCAGGAAGGGAAUUAGUCUCAUUGACAGAGUAAAGAGCCCUUCCACACUCAGUUUUCCUCACACACAAGGAAAUCCAGCCCAUCCCUGUAGUCCCAGCCUCUCCCAGUGCCACCAGCUCACACUUUGCAAACCCACGGUUUGUUUAAGGGCUCAGUUAUAUUUAAAUGACAAAGGCUCACCUGUAGCUGAAGUUCCACCCUUUCAAAGCCA